GAGUUUGAUCAUGGCUCAGGAUGAACGCUGGCGGCGUGCUUAACACAUGCAAGUCGAACGGACGGAUUGGAGCUUGCUCCAUGAAGUUAGUGGCGGACGGGUGAGUAACGCGUGGGUAACCUGCCCUAUGCAGGGGGAUAACAACAAGAAAUUGUUGCUAAUACCGCAUAAUAUGAGAGCUUCGCAUGGAGCACUCAUCAAAGAUUUAUCGGCAUAGGAUGGACCCGCGUUAGAUUAGCUAGUUGGUGAGAUAAAAGCUCACCAAGGCGACGAUCUAUAGCCGGCCUGAGAGGGUGAACGGCCACACUGGGACUGAGACACGGCCCAGACUCCUACGGGAGGCAGCAGUGGGGAAUAUUGCACAAUGGGCGCAAGCCUGAUGCAGCGACGCCGCGUGAAGGAUGAAGGUUUUCGGAUCGUAAACUUCUAUCAGCAGGGAGGAACCAAAUGACGGUACCUGACUAAGAAGCCCCGGCUAACUACGUGCCAGCAGCCGCGGUAAUACGUAGGGGGCAAGCGUUAUCCGGAUUUACUGGGUGUAAAGGGUGCGUAGGUGGUAUGGUAAGUCAGAUGUGAAAACUCAGAGCUCAACUUUGAGACUGCAUCUGAAACUACUAAACUAGAGUG
rnacentral:rRNA from 1 species